rnacentral:lncRNA from 1 species
GGAAAAAUGCAUGCUUACUGUUUCCUAAGAAUCAAAGAGCUGGGAGUAAACCUGGAGUAAACGACUGGAUUGAUAUAUAAAAUAAAAGACUGGACCUGUGUUUUGCAGGAGAAGAGCUAUCCAGAGAUUUUUUUUAGCAUAAAAAGAGAGAACUACUUGAAGAAUAGACACACACUCACAAGGAGGACCUGGACAGGGACCUCUUAGAAUAGCAAGCAGGCAGGAUAUAGAAAUUAUAGAUUUCUCUCCAGAGAAAUCUCUGGAGAGAAAGCAGGACACAAAGAGAAGCAGACUGGAAAAGCUGCAUCAAGCAGAGCACAGAUCAUCAGCUGAAUCCACGAUCUGACUUCAAGUCAUUCUUUUCGGAGCUCCCAGACACCCCUGGGCUGGUACUUAGCAAUGGAGGCUUUAACUCCUCAAAGCCCACCUCUAUAACACACUUCCUUCAACAAGGCCACUCCUCCUAAUCCUUCCCAAACAGUUCCACCAAUUGAGGACCAAGUGUUCAAAUAUAUGAGCCUAUUGGGGACCAUUUCCAUUCAAACUAAC